GAGAAGCAAAUGAGUUAAAGAAGGGUUGUGGUACUUUUUUUUUUUUUUUUACAAUAUGUUGCAGAAAACUCAGCAACGUUCUCAUACACAAAUCUGUGAAGAUGCAAAACAGACAAAAAUAACAUUACCCUAUUGAACUAACAAUUGUAAACUCAAAUUAAGCACAUGCACUUUGAUUAUAGCAUGUUACUGCUACGUAGUUGUAUCUAGAGAAAGGGCAUUCUUCUGGACUAAACUAUAAUUCGUCCC
rnacentral:lncRNA from 1 species